rnacentral:rRNA from 1 species
GUGGGGAAUUUUGGACAAUGGGCGCAAGCCUGAUCCAGCAAUGCCGCGUGCAGGAAGAAGGCCUUCGGGUUGUAAACUGCUUUUGUACGGAACGAAACGGUCCGGGUUAAUACCCUGGGCUAAUGACGGUACCGUAAGAAUAAGCACCGGCUAACUACGUGCCAGCAGCCGCGGUAAUACGUAGGGUGCAAGCGUUAAUCGGAAUUACUGGGCGUAAAGCGUGCGCAGGUGGUUUUGUAAGACAGGCGUGAAAUCCCCGGGCUCAACCUGGGAAUUGCGCUUGUGACUGCAAGGCUGGAGUGCGGCAGAGGGGGAUGGAAUUCCGCGUGUAGCAGUGAAAUGCGUAGAUAUGCGGAGGAACACCGAUGGCGAAGGCAAUCCCCUGGGCCUGCACUGACGCUCAUGCACGAAAGCGUGGGGAGCAAACAGGAUUAGAAACCCCUGUAGUCC